GAGCCCGCACAAGCAGUGGAGUAUGUGGUUUAAUUCGACGCAACGCGAAGAACCUUACCGGAACUUGACAUCCUACCAAGGCGAAUGUAAUGUUUGCCGUGCCCUUCGGGGAGAGUAGAGACAGGUGGUGCAUGGUUGUCGUCAGCUCGUGUCGUGAGAUGUUGGGUUAAGUCCCGCAACGAGCGCAACCCUUACGGUUAGUUGCUACGAAAGAGCACUCUAGCCGGACUGCCGUUGACAAAACGGAGGAAGGCGGGGACGACGUCAAAUCAUCAUGCCCCUUACGUUCCGGGCUACACACGUACUACAAUGGCGCAAACAAAGGGAAGCGAGAUCGCGAGAUGGAGCAAACCCCAUAAAAGGCGUCCCAGUUCGGACUGCAGGCUGCAACCCGCCUGCACGAAGUUGGAAUUGCUAGUAAUCGCGGAUCAGCAUGCCGCGGUGAAUACGUUCCCGGGCUUU
rnacentral:rRNA from 1 species